GCCAAACCUGUUCAUGUGAUUGGUUACGAAGUGAUGUGGAUCUUUGUUUGGUAGUACAAGAGUUGGAAAGUUUUUCGUUUGUUGAAAGUUUUGAUGCGCAAAAGACUUUGAGCAUUUUGAUACUUAUUUAUCGUUUGGAACAUGCUUGGC
rnacentral:sRNA from 1 species